CGACACCUGGUGGUGGAAGAGAGCAGUUGAUUUUUACCAGACAGUGGCUUAAAGGGACGUUUUUUAAAACAUUCAACUUCAUGUUCACUCCAGCACCACCCCAACAUCAACAUAUGUGAAAACAGAGCAUUUCUAUGUUUUGUAUUAAUAAAGAUAGAGGAAGAUAAGUGUUUCCAAUGACAUCAACCAAUUGGUAGGCAAUGCCUCAUCAUUAUUGGUUAAAAUCACAUGAUGCACACAGAUGUCAUUGGAAAUGUUUAUCUUCCUCUAUCUGUUUUACUACAAAACAUAGAACCAUUUUCACACAUGUUGAUGUUGCGGUGGUGCUGGAGAUGAUGAGUAUGACAAGGGGAAACUGUGACAUUUCUCUUUAAGUCAGGGAUGUUUGUAGUGGCUGUUCUAAAAAAACAGAACCAUGGAUUACAAUCUCUCCUGGUGCAUAGACUACCUUCAGGGGCCAUGUUGAUUAGGCACCAAACUGAAGACAACGGACAGCAAAGAUGGUGGAUAAUGAAGACGUCACAAAAAGUCAGUUAAUCUUUGCUUCCUGUCUGUUGAGUGGCUUGGGCAGUCUCUCCAGGGCGUACUGGUGGUGGCAGAGUUCACAGCGGCUGCUGUUGGAGGCAGUGAGCCAGUGUUCCAGGCAGCCUCGGUGGACCAUGGCCAGCGUCCCUGCACACUCACAGGGGGAGAGCAGCUCCCCG